rnacentral:snRNA from 1 species
UUAUUUACUGCAUUCCAUUUAAACCUUAUCCCCCGGGUUCACCCAAAUUUAAGAAACCCACUGCUCAAUUUGUGGCAGCGUGGCAUUGCAUUAGC